GCGAGAGAGUGAGAGGGAAUGAAAGAGUGAGAGAGGGAAUGAGAGACACCGAGGGAAAGAGGGCCAUAUUCAUGAAACGUCUGCAGCCUUAUUUUACUGCACUUGUACAAAAAAAUAAAGAAAAACAAACUCCUGGAGUGGGGGCUUCUAAAUUCUGAAUGCAUUACUGAUGGUUUCCAAGUUCACUGCGUUGUUAUCCUGUUUUAAAAAAAAACCCUGUGUAAGCUUAGUGUGACAGUAAAUAUUUCAGGACUUUGGCAGACAGAGAAAGCGAAUGAGAGUGGGCGUGUGUUUGUGCAGGAAGGGUCCAUCUAAGCCUGAUGGGCUGGAGCCACAUCUGCAUUUCAUCCCAACCUGAUUUUCAAUGACUUGGUCCUUUCCCGGCUUCGCUCCCAUUGCACUACAGUUUGAUGCAUUUCCAUUGGAAGUCCGGGCUGCAGGCUCUCGUGUGUGAGCUAACAUCAGAUGCUGGAUAUGUUCUGCUUUUUCCCUUAUUUAAAGUAAAUUCGCCUGGAGUUACCUGUGAAGUUACAGUAUUUCGAUAUACUUGUGUGUGUAUAUGUAUGCGUGUAUACAUGUAUAUGUGUGCUUUUCUGCUUCGUUGGUACUUCGUUGGAGACUGCAGCUCCUAAAGCACAUAAUGCAUAAAACUGCAUUAUAAUGGGAGUCUUGUUAAUGGGUCAAAAAAGAAUCUCUCAGGUUUGAUCCAGUAGCUACUUAUAAAAUACACCCUUGAAACCUGCAGAUUGUAAAGGUCACUGGAGCAAAGUGCUAUGCCAACCCCUCAGUACCCCUCUAUUCUCACUGGAUUGUUUCCCCUGAACUGCUUACGCAAGGCAAAAUACAGAGAGACAAGGGAAUCGGGCACCAGUUAGACGUAGAAGACACAGAGAGACACAACAGACACAGAAAUACAGAAUCAGUCAGAUUUAUGGGCACACAGACAGACUUGGGCAGACUGAAAUAGACACAUAGACAGAGCGAUAUACAGGCACACAGACAGUCAGACUCACUCAGAUAAACAAGUCCACACACAGGCAGACUGAGACAUACAGGCACAUAGACAGGCAGACUCGGUCAGAUAGACAGGCAGACUCGGUCAGAUAUACAGGCACAUGGACAGGCUGACUGAGACAUACAGGCACAUAGAUUCGUUCAGAGAUACAGGCACAUGGACAGACAGACUGAGAUAGACAGGCAGACUCGUUCAGAUAUACAGGCACACAGACAGGCAGACUGAGACAUACAGGCACACAGACAGGCAGACUGAGACAUACAGGCACAUAGACUCGUUCAGAUAUACAGGCACACAGACAGGCAGGCUGAGAUAGAUAGGCAGACUCAGUCAGAUAUACAGGCACAUGGACAGACAGACUGAGAUAGACAGGCACAUAGGCAGACUCGGUCAGAUAUACAGGCACACAGACAGGCAGGCUGAGACAUACAGGCACACAGACAGACAGUCUCGGUCAGAUAUACAGGCACGCGGACAGGUAGGGAAGAGAAGGUAGAGCAAAAGAGAGAGACGGGGCAUGCCCACACUUUCAGUUUUCCUGUUUUCUUUGCUAGUUAUGGAAUGAAAUGGUUUAUUUCUGCAGCCACAGUGAUUGUCAGUGUGUGUGAGGAUGGGUUUGUGAAAAUGCUAAGCCAUGUCAGUAUUCAUGAGAAUUAAAAGACUCCGCCUGACCUCUUAAAACAGAGACAUGAAGGAAAAGAGAAUUUAUUAUUAUCAUUAUUAUUAUUAAGAAUGCAGUUACUUAGGGAAUUAAUAAAUACAGUGUGAUCCGUAUUUGAUCAGUAUUAAAGCUGUGUAACAUGUCCCAUGUUUUCUGUGUAUAAAGCUUUUAUCUGUAGGGAAUCUUCAUGAAACAGAUUAAAAAUGGUGGCGCUAAACACCAACAGAAGACAUAUAGUAACGCUUUUUAUCCCUGCGUGUAUUUAAUAAUAAUAAUAAUAAUAAUAAUUAAUAAUUUACUUUUGUAGUAGGAUUUGCUUCGCAAUUAAGCCCUUGGAAGACCUGAGAGCAUCUCUGAGUCUCUCUGCACAUUUGGAUAAUCUUUCUGCUCAGCAAGGAGAGAUUACAGUUCUUGGCUUUUCACACCCGGGACUCUGCUAGCUGCUGUAACUCCAGUCUGUUUCUGCUGCACUGUGAUUACCUGGGCCCCAGGAGGGGCGCCCUGCUGAGGAUGUGAGAGUCUGUUCAAGCACAGCUUCUGCCAAACCCCACUCCACACGCGAUGGAGCUGAAAGACUGGGAGACUCAUUACGAUGCAGUAUUGCCACAGACCCCGGUACUGGUGAUUCACGAAUCGAGCCAGCAUUUGGGACAUAGGGUGCUUUGCUGUGCAGUGGGGGCGUGUGACUGGAGUUGCCUGCCUCGUUUGUGCAAUGUGACGGUGAAACAGUCUGUGCAGAAAACACAGCUUUGGCCGGGAGUUGCUUCCUGCUGUGCCGGCAGGGCUACGCGGCAGCGUUUUUCUUCAGGCCGAGCAUGUGAGCUUGCACUGCUCUAGUCCAGCUCCCGAGGCUUUGCACGGUUCCUACAUUUCCACUUUAAUAACGUGUAUAGUCCCGACACGCUCCGGGUGUCGUUUUCCGAUGAGACAUUUACAAGGAGGAGAAGAGAACCAGACCGACCCCGACACCUUGUGCCGGCAGAUGUUUUUUCCCCGGACGCUCGAUCGCGAGUGUGGGGGGCGAACUCGGGCCUGCGUCGCCGGAGCGCGAGGAGGAAACUGAAGGGCAGACGGGAGUGAAGAAGGGAGAGCGAGGGACCCGAAUGAGCCAGAGGGGAAGUUUAACGUUUCGUUAAACCUUCUUUUGGACACCAGAAAAACUUGUGAAUUAAUUCAGCAUACGAGUGGUGGGUUUUUAGAGGGUUUAAAAAUCAUUUUGAGAAUUAAAAGAUUUCACAGGUGUUUUUAAUAACCACUGUAUUGUAAUUUAUUUUAUUUUUUUGUAACAGACUAAAAUGGCACCCUAAGGCAGUAAAAAUGUGAAUUUCA